rnacentral:rRNA from 1 species
UACAAGUGAGAAUGCCGGUAUGAGUAACGAUUCAGAGUGAGAAUCUCUGACGCCUAUUGGGGAAGGUUUCCUGGGCAAGGUUCGUCCACCCAGGGUUAGUCGGGUCCUAAGACGAGGCCGAAAGGCGUAGCCGAUGGACAACAGGUUAAUAUUCCUGUACUUUCUUAACAUGUGAUGGAGUGACGGGGAAGGAUAAUUUUACCACUAAUUGGAUUGUGGGGUAAGUAACAACUGGGUUAUGUAGGCAAAUCCGCAUAACUUAACUGGGAGUUACGACGCAUAGCAAAAGGGCAACUGAGUAGCGAAUUAGAUGAUUUCAUGCCUCUUAAAAAAGCUUCUAACAUUAAGUGUUAGGAAACCCGUACCGAGAACGGACACACGUCCCCAAGAUGAGUAUUCUAAGGCGAGCGAGAAAACUAUUGUCAAGGAACUCUGCAAAUUCAUCCCGUAAGUUCGCAAGAAGGGAUGCCCACAAUAAAAUGUGGGCCGCAGUGAAUAGUAAGGGGGAACUGUUUAUCAAAAACACAGCUCUAUGCUAAGUCGUAAGAUGAUGUAUAUGGGGUGACUCCUGCCCAGUGCCCGAAGGUUAAGCAGAGGUGUUAGCAUUAGCGAAGCAUUAAUGUG